rnacentral:ncRNA from 1 species
CUAUACCAAAGAAUUUGGUAUGGCGAAAGGAG